UACAGAGGGUGCAAGCGUUGUUCGGAAUUAUUGGGCGUAAAGAGCUCGUAGGCGGUCUGUCGCGUCGGCUGUGAAAACCUGAGGCUCAACCUCGGGCCUGCAGUCGAUACGGGCAGACUAGAGUUCGGUAGGGGAGACUGGAAUUCCUGGUGUAGCGGUGAAAUGCGCAGAUAUCAGGAGGAACACCGGUGGCGAAGGCGGGUCUCUGGGCCGAAACUGACGCUGAGGAGCGAAAGCGUGGGGAGCGAACAGG
rnacentral:rRNA from 1 species